CUUCGACCGCGUGGUCGCAUACCUGGAUAUCGACAGCGUCCCUCGUGCAAUGAGCUAUAUAGAGCCGCGUCUCCGGGCUCUCAACGGAGAACAGCAGUCAGUCCAAGUUCGACAUUGCUAGCGAUCAGUUGCAGAGCCUAAAGCUUAGCUCGCAGCCAUCACAAUCUGUAUUUUCAUAUUUAUACUUUAACAAAUACAUUCACGCCUUUGGAAAAUAUACCCUGCUUCGAGUUUUUCAACACUGUGAUCAUCAUAAUUUUCAGUAUACCAGCAGUGUACCGCGUCACCCAUCCAAACUACCAAGAUGAUGGCCGAGUUUGUCAUAGGUACCUACAAAUUCUGCCAUGAGUUGGACUUUGACAGUCACAGCCUGCGCAAAGAUAAGCCCAGACCAGAUCUAGACCGCAUAGUCAAAAGCUAUGACCACGAGCUGCACCAAUCUCUCGACAAGAUUUUUCAAAAGUAUCGUCCCAAUAGCGCUCGGAUCAAGGAAUUUUCUCGCGAUCAGAAUUCCGCCAUCAAAUCGAUCCUGGAGCAAGAACCCAUACUUAGCAAGCACUUCUUGAAAGGCAAGUUCGAAAAGCUCUCGCUCCUGUGGACGGCGAUCUUGGCCGAUUACAAGAAUUCAGCCGAGCUGUUGGUGCGCUCCGGUGCCGACGUCAACGAACGCUUCGGAUUUCACUCUAUUGAUCAGGUGAUCGACAAGAAAUGGACCAUCCUCCACGUGCUGAUUCAGAUGGAUCCCAUCCCGGAGAACGAUCGACUCAUCCGUCUGAUAACCGAGCACGGCGCCGACUUGCAAGCUCGAGACUCCUACGACCGAACUGCCUUGAACUUCGCGGUUAUGCUAGGCCGAGUGCAAAUGGCUGAAGUAUUUCUCGAAAAUGGCGCCGACAGCAGUGUCACUGACAGGGGUGGCGAGUCACCGCUCACUAUCUCUAUUAACAAGGACAAAGCCACCGAAUUACUGCCGAUACUUUUGAAAUACAGAAUCGAUGUUUCCACCAAAACAGGUUCGGGCAAGAACGCCUUGCACCUAAUGGCAUGGAGCAGUGAUGAUGUGAAACCCUUUGCCAGAGCUUUGCUCGAGAUGGGCGCUUCGCUCGAGUACAGAGAAAAUCGCCAAGGCUUCCAACCGUUACACGAGGCCGCCUGGAUUGGAAAGCCUCAAUUGCUGGAGCUCUAUUUGGACUACGGCGCGGACGUGAAUGCGCGAGCGAAUGACGGCCAAUUUCCGCUGCAGAUCGCAUCCCGAUGUGGAUCACACCCGGAAGUGGUGAAAAUUCUGAUCGAACGCGGCGCGAACGUUGACCUGAGAGACAGCAAUGGUUGCACUGCGUUGCACAGUGCCUGCCAACAUUCAACCUGGUCAUAUGAGAAUCCGAAACAGGAGAGGAUCAUGAAGCUACUUCUCGACGCUGGCGCGGAUGUGCUCAUCGAGGACUACGACGGCAAUACCGCUUUCUCUAUCAUCAAUCGCGUGAACAUCGUAGAAAGCGCGGAGCAGAAAAAAAGGAAAUUCAAGCUGAUGAUCAAAGCACUGGCGCUGAAGAAAGCUCGCCAACCGUCACUCAGAUUUAAGGACGAAAUUAUAAUUGAGAACUGCUCGGAGAAGUGGAAUUAUUAUCUAGACUGCUGUACACAUAUCUAUAGGAUGAAGUACACGAGGCUCAUUAGGAACUUUGCAUUUUUCGAUUUCUUCACCAAGAGCCAUCAUCAGAUUGCCGCGCUGAUGCGGAAUCGCAACUUUGAAGAGAACUUCGAGCUUUACGAUCUCCGCGGAUUUUCAAUGUAUGCCGAAGAAGUACUUCGAGCUUUCAAGCGCGCGCAAAAGCUCUACCGAGAUAUGCUGAAAAUGGAGGAGAAGAUCAACGAGGCUGUGUAUCAGACUUUACCUUAUCUAAUCGUGGAGAAGGUGGUUAGUUACAUAUUUUCUGACGGUUGCAAAAAGAAUGCGAAUGAAUGAUUGAAUUUAUGAGAAAUCGACUUUUAUGGGUAUACUCAAAAAUAAUGCAAUUUUUAAAGGAUGCACACCUUAUUCUGAAGUUUUACAGAUUAUUUGGAGACUAUAAAAACGCGGCUACAACGGAUUUUCCGGAAAUUUUUCAGAUUUUUUUCACAUCAUACCAGCAAUUGCACAGAGCAAUUACAGUUGUUUCAGAAUUCUAAAAAAUAAAAUAGUACGCAAAUACAUUGAAUAAAUAUAGAACUUCAUUAUCCUCCUAUAUACAGUCAUAAAUUGCUUAGUUUUUUUAGCCCUUGAGAUAGACUCAAGUGUUCAAAUCAUCACCCAAGUUUAUAAAGAAAGCCGCACUUCCUCUUGCUAUAUUCUCGUCAAUGUAUGUGCUUUUUCUAAUAAGGGGAGGAAUAAAGCUCUUUUACAUACGAAUGAGAAGCGGUUGUAUAACACUGAAUAACGAUGGUUGUAGUCUACAAUUUAGCAUUGGAUGAGUGUAAAGUUCCGAGUAAAUAAAUAAAAAAGUACAUGGCUUGUAUACGCGCGUCGCACCUCCCUCUCCUUCUACAUUAAGGUAAUAUCUUUUUUAUUUAUUAUCUCGGAACUUUGCACUCAUCGAAAUCGAGUAAAAAUCGAUUCCAAUGCAAAAUUGGACGCUCUUUCGACUGGUGCAGGUCAUUUGACAGUACGUUAAGCCAUUUUCGAGAUAUGAGCAAAAUUAAUUUUUGCACACUGUUUUCGCAUAGAACCCAUUGACCUAGGAAGCUGCAAAUUUCAGAAUAGUCUUUUUCGACCUCGAUUUACCUAUAAUAACCAAAAUGCAGCCAUUUCUAUCGCAUGUCGAUUUCAAAGCUAAUUUUACUGGACUACUAUGGUGCCCUCUGCAGGUUUCAUCUCGCCAUCUAUUGAGUAAUGUUCUAAAGGCAGACGAUAUUUUGAAAAUGGCGCUCUUAGCGCGGGCGACCGGGAGUAUAUUUUUUCUUACCAGUAACAGUUAUUCUAAAUUUAUUUUCAAUUGUCUAAAAGUGAAGAUAGAUACAAAAAAGUUCGUAAAAGCUUUGGCUGUCAACAGUUAUUCGUGCAAUGCUCGCUGUACACACUCCGGUGCUUAUCAUAUGGAAAGAAAGCAAAAAAAGUAUAUUACAUACGAUGAAGUCUUGGCUCAAAGAAGAUUACAAGCUCAUCGUUCAGUUUUAAUAGAAGUUCAAUCGGACAAAUCUUGCACUGAUGUGUAUGCACACUGUUCUCAAUUUGGAAAAAUCAAUGGAUUAUUUCACUAUACGACUCAAGGAAUGGAAAGGCAUUUUGUCCUUGUUGAAUUUGAUAGUCAAGAAAGUGUCAAUGCAGUUUUGUCAGCCUCAACACAUGUUAAUCAUGAACAAAUAAUUCCAGUUCGCUCAACCAUGCUAUGGUUUCGAAAUCCUCCACAACGAGUAGACAUAAAACCAAUUAAUGAUACACUUAGUGUACCACUAUCUAGAAAUUCCUGCAAAAUAUUAUCUAACCCUGAACUUUUUAAAAUUUUAGUGUCAGCUGAAUCGAUUUCAGAUCAAAUCAAAUUACUGCACGAGUGUUCAAAACUGAAUGAUGUAGGUGUACGUUUGAGAUUUUAUACAGCCUAUCAAAUCGAGUGUUGUUUCCAUGGCUUAUUUCCAAACAUUGCUGUUUUACCAUUUGGUUCUUCUGUCAAUGGGUUUGGUAAACAAGGUUGUGAUCUUGAUUUAAGUGUUAUUUUUGAAGAAGAUAAAAUGGAAAAAAAUACAAGUCGAUUAGUGUUUCAAACUAAAUCUAUUUUAACUCACGAAAAAUAUCAAAUGAAAAGAUUAAUGGAAACAGUGGCUGACACAAUGAAUAUUUUUGUACCUGGAAUAUCCAACGUUAGGAAAAUUUUAGAAGCAAGAGUUCCUAUAAUCAAAUUUGAUCACAGUCUGACUAGAGUAGAAUGUGAUCUUGCUAUGACAAAUAUGUCCGCAUAUUAUAUGUCUGAAUUGUUGUAUAUGUACGGUGAAAUGGACAGGAGAGUUAGACCUCUUAUUUUUACUGUACGAAAGUGGGCCCAGUGUUUGAAAUUAACAACUAAAAAUAUUCCUGGACCAUGGAUUACAAACUUUUCAUUAUCUCUUAUGGUAUUAUUCUUUCUGCAAGAAAAGAAGAUUUUACCAUCUUUAAAUUUACUUAAAUCUUGUGCAACACGUGAAGAUAUUCGAAUAGCUGACAUUUAUGUUGACUGUACCUUCCAACGCGAUAUAACGAAGAUCCCGAAAAAUAACAAAAUUCCUAAUACAGAGUCUCUUGAGGCUCUUUUACUGGAAUUUUUCACUUAUUUUGGCAAUUUUGAUUUCGAAACUAAGGCUCUUUCCUUGCGAGAAGGAAAACCUAUAUCAAAGCCAGAGUACACUGCCUUAUACAUCUGUAAUCCCUUAGAAACCAAUUUAAAUGUAAGCAAAAAUGUUAGGUUUGAAGAAUUAGAACGCAUCAGAGUAGCUAUGCGCAGUGCAUCGUGGCAGUUGGAAGCUACGGACAAUGAAAAACGAUUUGAAAAUUGGGGAUUGCUCAAAUUGCUUACAAAUACAAAUUUCGAUUCCCUAGCGCGAAAUAAUUCAGCCAAGUCGAUUAACAUUGAGGCACUUUUUGAAAACGACGGUGCGAAGCUUAGUAGAAAAAGAACGAACGAGAAGAAAAAGCAAAAGAAAAGCAAGUCAAAGUCAUGAGAAGCUGCUUGCAAGAACUUUUUACAUACAAUGAUUAAAACUUUUUUUGUAAAUAUCUAAAAUUUUGUACUGUUAUUUAGUUUGAAGAUAGAAGAAUGAAGCAGUGAAUGAAGAACUGUAAAUAAAUCUAGAAAGGAGAACUUUUGUUAAAAGAAGAUAAAACGAUUUAUAACAUA